UACGUAGGGACCAAGCGUUGUCCGGAAUCAUUGGGCGUAAAGAGCGUGUAGGCGGCUUGUUAAGUCUUGCGUGAAAUCUCGGGGCUCAACCCCGAGCGGUCGUGAGAAACUGGCAGGCUAGAGUGCGGGAGAGGAGAGUGGAAUUCCUGGUGUAGCGGUGAAAUUCGUAGAUAUUGGGAAGAACACCGGUGGCGAAGGCGGCGACCUGGUCCGAUACUGACGCUGAGGCGCGAAAGCGUGGGGAGCAAACAGG
rnacentral:rRNA from 1 species